rnacentral:rRNA from 1 species
UACAGAGGGGGCGAGCGUUGUUCGGAAUUACUGGGCGUAAAGGGCGCGUAGGCGGCCUUCUAAGUCAGACGUGAAAUCCCUCGGCUCAACCGGGGAACUGCGUCUGAGACUGGAAGGCUUGAAUCCGGGAGAGGGAUGUGGAAUUCCAGGUGUAGCGGUGAAAUGCGUAGAUAUCUGGAGGAACACCGGUGGCGAAGGCGGCAUCCUGGACGGUCACUGACGCUGAGACGCGAAAGCCAGGGGAGCGAACGGG